GCCGCCACGACCCCGAGCAGUUUGGGGAGUGAAGGGUUUACUUGGCUUUUACUUCCGGGUCACAGGUUCACCUCUGAGGGAAGUAGGAGAGGAAGGGCAGGCCCAGUGCCAGGCGCCUUUCUUAGAACCCCAGACCCAUCUGUCUGGGAAUGUGGCUGGGCCCUCCCACCCGAUUAGCAAUCAAGAAGAAAACCCCGCCCACCCGCAGGCGGCUUCCUCUUCUCCGGUGUGCAGACUUGAAAGCCAAGAUAGGCUCUCAGAGGUAAUGUCUGGAUCUUCUGUUUAAAUUGCGCGCGGAUGCGGAUGCGGAUGCGUGCUAAGCUUGAGUGUCUGUGAAAGAGGGUUCACAGGCUUGGAGGCAGAGGCCAUUGUGGGAUGCUGGGUGUGUCCGCCUCUCACCUCGUGCCUUGAUGCCUCCAGGCAGGGUCCCUCACUGAACCAGAAGUUCUCUGCCCAGCCAGCUCCAGCAGUCACCUGGUUCAUCCUUCACAACCUCUGAGGUCUCGUGCAUCCACGCCAGGAUUCUUACCUGGGUGUUGGCGUCCAGAACCAGACCUUCUUGUACAGCAGGCACAGCAAGUGAUCUUAACCACUGAGUAGCUCCCCAGCCCCUGGACCCGGGUUGGAAUGGGCUAUCCCCAAUACCAGCUAGAAAGCUAGAAAGACUAUCUCUGAUUUUUUUUUUUUUUUUUUGGCAGCCCCAGAAACAAGGCAAGGUGAAGACCGUUUUAUUGUCCAGGUAAGAAAAUGUGAGCCCAGAGAGGGAAGACCAACCGCCUAAGGUCACACAGCAGGAUGAGAGUGUGAUUCUGGGGGGUGGUAUUCAGAUCUUAUAUGCCCUUCUCCCAAUCCUAAACUCUAACAUGGACAGCCAAGGCUCUCGGUGUGGACAGCAGCCUUCUGCAGGGGGUGAACUGGGGCCAUCGAGGCCAUUCAGCUUCUCCUGGGACCUGAGCAGAAAGAAGGAAGAGGAGAGACCUGGAAAAGCCAAGCUCCCAGCUGGAGGAAGAAUGAGUUGGCGUGUUCCGUGGACGGCUGCUAUUCUGCCCCAAGAAUAAAUGGCAGAUACACACAACGGUGUCACAGACGUGAUGCUGAAAAGAAGCUAGAGAGGAAGAAAGCCGUCCUGUGGAGCCAUUCAUGCAAUCUCAAAGC
rnacentral:lncRNA from 1 species